GCAUGUCAAUUUAGUGUAUUGAGACACAUACAACCUCAUGACAUAUUGAGUGGCAUUUGGACUAGUGUAAUAGAGACACUAUAAUAUGGACGAGUGGCAUGUCGAUUUAGUGUAUUGAGACACAUACAACAUCAUGACAUAAAUGAGUGGCAUCAAAUCUAGUGUAGUGGAACACUAUGGCAUUUGAACCUAGGGAUAGUAGAUUUU
rnacentral:lncRNA from 1 species